rnacentral:tRNA from 1 species
CGUAGCUCAGUCGGAUAGAGCGUUGGUCUCCGAAGCCAAAGGUCACGGGUUCGACUCCCGUCG